AGCUUGGAGAGCUUCUCUGCAAACUUGUGCAGCUGAGAAACAUAUUCAUCCAUUGUUUUGCUGCGAGUUUCCACAUCAUCAAUGAGUAAACAGAUGUUAGACAACGGCUUAUGCCAGAUGAAGAAGGUGCUUUCCCAGUCUGCAUCCGAGCUUUUUCCUUGGCUCAAUGCCUUGACUAUCUCUGACUGGAAUAUUGCUAUCAUGGCAAUAUGCACCGGUUCUACCACAAUUUCUCGGGUUACAGUCUCUCUCUAGAGUCUCUACUCGUGUUCUUGACUAAUUUUUAUGAAUGUUUUGAUGUUCUUGGUUGAUAUAUAUACCAUUUUUCAUGUUGUACACAUCAUACUUAGAUCCCAAACCACAAAUCUUGGACUCCCGGUAUUGUCAUAUCGGUUUAAUAUUCAUAGGCUAGACCGGAUUUACCGGUUUGAUUUCUCUUGCCUCUUGCUGAUGAGCAAUUGAGUACACACUAUAUUUGUCUCCUUCAUGAACAAGA